UCUCCCUGGAAACGGGUGGUAAUGCCGGAUGCUCCGACUCCUCGCAUGGGGUGUCGGGAAAGAUUUCAUCGGUAUGGGAUGGGGUCGCGUCCUAUCAGGUAGUCGGCGGGGUAACGGCCCACCGAGCCUACGACGGGUAGCCGGCCUGAGAGGGCGACCGGCCACAUUGGGACUGAGAUACGGCCCAGACUCCUACGGGAGGCAGCAGUGGGGAAUAUUGCACAAUGGGCGCAAGCCUGAUGCAGCGACGCCGCGUGCGGGAUGACGGCCUUCGGGUUGUAAACCGCUUUUGAUCGGGAGCAAGCCUUCGGGUGAGUGUACCUUUCGAAUAAGCACCGGCUAACUACGUGCCAGCAGCCGCGGUAAUACGUAGGGUGCAAGCGUUAUCCGGAAUUAUUGGGCGUAAAGGGCUCGUAGGCGGUUCGUCGCGUCCGGUGUGAAAGUCCAUCGCUUAACGGUGGAUCUGCGCCGGGUACGGGCGGGCUGGAGUGCGGUAGGGGAGACUGGAAUUCCCGGUGUAACGGUGGAAUGUGUAGAUAUCGGGAAAGAACACCA
rnacentral:rRNA from 1 species